rnacentral:lncRNA from 1 species
AUAUAUAUAUAUAUAUAUAUAUUUUUCAAAAAAAAGCCGAGCUCAUGAGCUAGCUCAUGUUCAUUAAAGCUCGCUCAUAUAACUCGCGAUCUAAAAAAAGCUCGAUCACAUAACUCAUUUAUUAAAUGAGCCUAAAAAACAUAGCUCGUGCUCAUGAAAAAUCGAGCUGAGCUGAGUCAGCUCAUGAGUUGCGAGCUCAUUUUGACACCCCUAGUUCUAAGUAAAGGUCUUUAAGCAGCACAACCUUAGAGUCCCGUAAAAAUCUUGUCAGAUUACUAUCCCUGCAAAGAUGAAUAUCCACAAUUGUGCUUCAAAACACACAAAUAUUAUCACAAUAGACUCGUAUAUAUAGCUGUAAGGAAUAAGGGAAGAAUGUUCCACAAGCGCAUUAAUCAAACGAAUAUGGGCGAAAGAAAUAAAUAGUCUUUCUCCUUUAUAUUUUAUUCCCACGACUUGAGUUAAAUAAUUUCUAAAGGAUGUUAAUGUCAUAGAGAUCGUUAAAAAAAUCAACAAUAGAUUGAUUGGCCUUUGUAUACUCCGGCUACGGUUUCGUAUCAACAUCAGCGACAGUAAUAUGUCAAAGUGGUGUGGAAAUAGUCGCUGCGACUUAGAAAAAAACGGCAAGCUGUCUAAGAAUGAAAGAUUCCAUUAUGAGAGUUAAGUCAAAGGCUUAAUCCCUACAAAAUCGCCAAUUCCAAAAGACCGAUCACGCGAUUGAGUAACCACAAAAGCAGUUAAGCAGAAUUUCAAGAGUAGAAGAGAGACACCCGACGGUGACGAACAUACCAGUGAUAGUAGCAAAACAGAGGUAAUCGAGAUGGCUGAAAUUUCUGAUGAUUCUAGUAAAAGCAGGAUUCUGAUCAAUGACUGGGUAUUGAAGAAACCUUGAAUUGAGAAGAAUAAAUCACUGAAUAAAUAAUAAGAACAGGAAGUGGUAACAAUGGGGGAAUUGAGAAGAAGAAGAAGAAGUGGAGAAUUAAGAACAGCAAGUGGUAACGAUGGGUGAGAGGAAUCGAUUUGUUUUCUCUGUUGGGUGGUAAUGGCGUUUUAAUUUUCAAUUUAACGUGGAGACCAAAAU